rnacentral:misc_RNA from 1 species
UAAAAGACAAAAAUCACAUGAAAAGGAAGUCAUCUUCUUCCUUCAAACCAUCCAUGGCUGAAUCACCUAAGUCCUCUCCCUCUUCCAUUUUUCUGUUUUUUUAGCUCAAUAUCUUCCCUUUCCACACCAUAUUUUUCAUAAAUCUCUUCACUAAAAAUUAUUCCCAAACCAAGAGGAAGACUUUGGUUACCAAGAAGUGAGGAAAUUCCAAAGUUUAUACAAGUCAAUAAUUGAACUACAAGAGGUUAGUGCUUAACCUUCUUACUUUUCUUCUUUAAUUCUUGAUUUGGAAUUAGGAGGAGUUGAAAUUUCAUUAAAUUAAAAGGAAAUGACAAGUUUUAUGAGGGAGUGAAUUUCGGCAACUUAGGGAUCCUUAGGAGUUUGAAAAUUUUGACUUACCUAAACUUGAUUAGUGAUGUUGAUGAAUGAAAUUAAAUGUAUUGGAAGUUAAUUGGUAUAAGUGUGCUUGAGAUUUGAAUCUUGAAAUUAGGGUUUGAUCAUAAAUUAGGGCUUUGUGAAAUUGUUUGAAAUUUGCAAAUUGAGAUUGAUUGAUGAUAUUUAGAAGUACUAUUUAUGCCAAUUGAAGUAAGGGAGUUAGGGAAAAUUGAAAAUUUGGGAGUGCUCUCUUGUGCAGGUUGUGGGACUUAAUGAGUCCAAUUUGGUUUUUGACAUAUAACUGAAAUUUUGUGGCUCCAAUUGGUAUGAGGCCAAUUAAAGGUGAAACUAGACCCAAAACACUCCAUUUUUUUAUGAAGAAAUCAUGCCAAGAUUUUGUCCAAAACUUGACCAAAUUACUGUUCCAAUCCAACUGACCAUACAUUGAAUCCAGAAAAAUGACCAAAUAAUACAUAUUUAUUUGCCCAUAACUCCCUCUAGAUAGGUCUAAAUGACCUGAAUUUGAUACCAUUGGAAAACUUAGACAUAGAAAUAUAACUUUCAUGAGGAAUACAGAACUCAGAAAUGCCUCUAACUAAACCAAAUUACUAGUACAAGUUAGGUUAACAAAACUGUCCAGGACCAAAUUGUUCAAAAAUUCUAGACUUAGGCAUACCCAAUCAGUUUUGGCAAAAUGGUCAUAAC